rnacentral:rRNA from 1 species
CCCAGACUCCUACGGGAGGCAGCAGUGGGGGAUAUUGCACAAUGGGGGGAACCCUGAUGCAGCGACGCCGCGUGGGUGAAGGAGCGUUUCGGCGCGUAAAGCCCUAUCGGCAGGGAAGAAGGAGGACGGUACCUGACUAAGAAGCCCCGGCUAACUACAUGCCAGCAGCCGCGGUAAUACGUAGGGGGCAAGCGUUAUCCGGAUUUACUGGGUGUAAAGGGGGCGCAGACGGCAGCGCAAGCCAGGAGUGAAAGCCCGGGGCCCAACCCCGGGACUGCUCUUGGAACUGCGCGGCUGGAGUGCAGGAGGGGCAGGCGGAAUUCCUGGUGUAGCGGUGAAAUGCGUAGAUAUCAGGAGGAACACCGGUGGCGAAGGCGGCCUGCUGGACUGCGACUGACGUUGAGGCCCGAAAGCGUGGGGAGCAAACAGGAUUAGAUACCCGAGUACA